rnacentral:rRNA from 1 species
AGCAGCCGCGGUAAUUCCAGCUCCAAUAGCGUAUAUUAAAGUUGUUGCAGUUAAAAAGCUCGUAGUUGAAUUUCGGGGUUCUACCGUUGGUCGGGCUUUGUCUGUACUGGCGUGUAGAAUUUCUACCUUCUGGGGAACUAUCAUGUUAUUAAUUUAACGUGGUGGGAAACCAUGACCUUAACCUUGAAAAAAUUAGAGUGUUCAAAGCAGGCUUAUGUCUGAAUACAUUAGCAUGGAAUAAUAAAAUAGGACGGUGGUCCUGUUUUGUUGGUUUCUGAAUCACCGUAAUGAUUAAUAGGGAUAGUUGGGGGCAUUAGUAUUCAAUUGUCAGAGGUGAAAUUCUUGGAUUUAU